GACGAACGCUGGCGGCGUGCUUAACACAUGCAAGUCGAACGGAAAGGCCCCCAUCUUGGUGGGGGUGCUCGAGUGGCGAACGGGUGAGUAACACGUGGGUGAUCUGCCCUGUACUUCGGGAUAAGCUUGGGAAACUGGGUCUAAUACCGGAUAGGACCAUGGUUUAGUGUCUCAUGGUGGAAAGAUUAUUGUUUUGGUGCAGGAUGAGCGCGCGGCCUAUCAGCUUGGUGGUGGGGUAAUGGCCUACCAAGGCGUCGACGGGUAGCCGGCCUGAGAGGGUGGACGGCCACAUUGGGACUGAGAUACGGCCCAGACUCCUACGGGAGGCAGCAGUGGGGAAUAGUGCAAAAUGGGCGCAAGCCUGAUGCAGCGACGCCGCGUGGGGGAUGACGGCCUUCGGGUUGUAAACUCCUUUCGGUAGGGACGAAGCCACGCUUUUUGGGUGUGGUGACGGUACCUUUGUUAAGAAGCACCGGCUAACUACGUG
rnacentral:rRNA from 1 species